rnacentral:rRNA from 1 species
UGGGGAAUAUUGGACAAUGGGCGCAAGCCUGAUCCAGCCAUACCGCGUGUGUGAAGAAGGCCUUCGGGUUGUAAAGCACUUUAAGCAGGGAGAAAAAGUUAUAAGUUAAUACCUUAUAACCGUGAUGUUACCUGCAGAAUAAGCACCGGCUAAUUCCGUGCCAGCAGCCGCGGUAAUACGGAAGGUGCAAGCGUUAAUCGGAAUUACUGGGCGUAAAGCGCGCGUAGGUGGUUUGUUAAGUUGGAUGUGAAAGCCCUGGGCUCAACCUAGGAACUGCAUCCAAAACUAACUCACUAGAGUACGAUAGAGGGAGGUAGAAUUCAUAGUGUAGCGGUGGAAUGCGUAGAUAUUAUGAAGAAUACCAGUGGCGAAGGCGGCCUCCUGGAUCUGUACUGACACUGAGGUGCGAAAGCGUGGGUAGCGAACAGG